rnacentral:rRNA from 1 species
CCUACGGGAGGCUGCAGUGGGGAAUAUUGGACAAUGGGCGCAAGCCUGAUCCAGCAAUACCGCGUGUGUGAAGAAGGCCUUAGGGUUGUAAAGCACUUUCAAUGGGGAGGAAAACCUACCGGUCAAUACCCGGUAGCUUGACAUUACCUGUAGAAGAAGCACCGGCUAACUCCGUGCCAGCAGCCGCGGUAAUACGGAGGGUGCAAGCGUUGCGCGGAAUUACCGUAGGUGGUUCGUUCAGUCACGGGUGAAAGCCCCGGGCUGAACCUGGGAACUGCAUUUGAAACUGGCGGACUAGAGUUGAGUAGAGGGGAGUGGAAUUUCAGGUGUAGCGGUGAAAUGCGUAGAUAUCUGAAGGAACACCAGUGGCGAAGGCGACUCCCUGGACUCAAACUGACGCUGAGGUACGAAAGCGUGGGUAGCAAACAGGAUUAGAUACCCGGGUAGUC